AUUGAACGCUGGCGGCAUGCUUACACAUGCAAGUCGAACGGUAACAGGGAGCUUGCUCCGCUGACGAGUGGCGAACGGGUGAGUAAUGCAUCGGGACGUGCCUAUUUGGUGGGGGAUAACGUAGCGAAAGUUACGCUAAUACCGCAUACGCCCUGAGGGGAAAGCGGGGGAUUCGUAAGAACCUCGCGCAAUUAGAGCGGCCGAUGUCGGAUUAGCUAGUUGGUGGGGUAAAGGCUCACCAAGGCGACGAUCCGUAGCGGGUCUGAGAGGAUGAUCCGCCACACUGGGACUGAGACACGGCCCAGACUCCUACGGGAGGCAGCAGUGGGGAAUUUUGGACAAUGGGCGAAAGCCUGAUCCAGCCAUGCCGCGUGAGUGAAGAAGGCCUUCGGGUUGUAAAGCUCUUUCAGCCGGAAAGAAAUCGCGCAGGCUAAUACUCUGCGUGGAUGACGGUACCGGAAGAAGAAGCACCGGCUAACUACGUG
rnacentral:rRNA from 1 species